rnacentral:rRNA from 1 species
UACGUAGGGUGCAAGCGUUGUCCGGAAUUAUUGGGCGUAAAGAGCUCGUAGGCGGUCUGUCGCGUCUGCUGUGAAAACUCAGGGCUUAACCCUGAGCUUGCAGUGGGUACGGGCAGACUAGAGUGCGGUAGGGGAGACUGGAAUUCCUGGUGUAGCGGUGAAAUGCGCAGAUAUCAGGAGGAACACCGGUGGCGAAGGCGGUGGUCUGGGCCGGAACUGACGCUGAGGCACGAAAGCUAGGGGAGCAAACAGG